rnacentral:rRNA from 1 species
GACGAACGCUGGCGGCGUGCUUAACACAUGCAAGUCGAACGGAAAGGCCCUGCUUUUGUGGGGUGCUCGUGUGGCGAACGGGUGAGUAACACGUGAGUAACCUGCCCUUGACUUUGGGAUAACUUCAGGAAACUGGGGCUAAUACCGGGUAGGAUCUCCUGCUCCAUGUUGUGGGUUGGAAAGUUUCGGCGGUUGGGGCUGGACUCGCGGCUUAUCAGCUUGUUUGUGGAGUAGUUGCUUACCAAGGCUUUGACGGGUAGCCUGCCUGAGAGGGUGAACGGCCACAUUGGGACUGAGAUACGGCCCAGAAUCGUACGGGCGGCAGCAGUGGGGAAUAUUGCACAAUGGGCGGAAGCCUGAUGCAGCAACGCCGCGUGCGGGAUGACGGCUUUCGGGUUGUAAACAGAUUUCGAAUGUGACGAAGCGUGAGUGACGGUAAUGGGUAAAGAAGCAACGGCUAACUACGUG